AACAGAACCAGCACGUAUUCAUCCAUCCUUUUGUAAGUCGAUUGCUUCAUGCAUCUCCAUUUCUCUUGCAAUUUGAUUACUUCAUGCAUCACCAUCUACCACCUGUAAGUCGAUUGCUUCAUGCAUCGCCAUCUACCCUUGCCCAUGGUUCCUUUCCUUGCUCCAUUCGUUGAUUCUUGUUCCGUUUAGGUAGCACCCAUCAGGUAGAACCCUUUGUAUGAUAACAUAGGUAGAAUUCCCUCAUUCC
rnacentral:lncRNA from 1 species